rnacentral:sRNA from 1 species
AAGCUUCGACUAAGGUUCGGCUCGAGCGUCAGCGAGAGAGCGUUGCCGCAGGCAACGACCCGAAGGGCGAAGCGCGCAGCGCUGAGUAAUCCUUCCCCCACCACCA